rnacentral:rRNA from 1 species
AAACCAGCACCUCAAGUGGUCAGGAGGAUUAUUGGGCCUAAAGCAUCCGUAGCCUGCUCUGUAAGUUUUCGGUUAAAUCUGUAUGCUCAACAUACAGGCCGCCGGGAAUACUGCAGAGCUAGGGAGUGGGAGAGGUAGACGGUACUCGGGAGGAAGUGGUAAAAUGCUUUGAUCUCUCGAUGACCACCUGUGGCGAAGGCGGUCUACCAGAACACGUCCGACGGUGAGGGAUGAAAGCUGGGGGAGCAAACCGGAUUAGAAACCCCGGUAGUCC